rnacentral:rRNA from 1 species
AUACGGAGGGGGUUAGCGUUGUUCGGAAUUACUGGGCGUAAAGCGCACGUAGGCGGAUUAAAAAGUUAGAGGUGAAAUCCCAGGGCUUAACCCUGGAACUGCCUUUAAAACUAGUAGUCUAGAGUUCGAGAGAGGUGAGUGGAAUUCCAAGUGUAGAGGUGAAAUUCGUAGAUAUUUGGAGGAACACCAGUGGCGAAGGCGGCUCACUGGCUCGAUACUGACGCUGAGGUGCGAAAGCGUGGGGAGCAAACAGGAUUAGAAACCCCGGUAGUCC